CCUACGGGAGGCAGCAGUGAGGAAUAUUGGUCAAUGGACGAGAGUCUGAACCAGCCAAGUAGCGUGAAGGAUGACUGCCCUAUGGGUUGUAAACUUCUUUUAUAAAGGAAUAAAACGAGGCACGUGUGCCUUUUUGCAUGUACUUUAUGCAUAAGGAUCGGCUAACUCAGUGCCAGCAGCCGCGGUAAUCCGGAGGGUCCGAGUGUUAUCCGGAUUUAUUGGGUUUAAAGGGAGAGUAGAUGGGUUGUUAAGUCAGUUGUGAAAGUUUUCGGCUCAACCGUAAAAUUGCAAUUGAUACUGGCAGUCGUGAGUACUGUUGAGGUAGGCGGAAUUCGGGGUGUAGCGGUGAAAUGCUUAGAGAUCUCGAAGAAACCCGAUUGCGAAGGCAGCUUACUAAACUGUGAAUGACAUUGAUGCUCGAAAGUGUGGGGAGCAAACAGGAUUAGAUACCCGGGUAGUC
rnacentral:rRNA from 1 species